AGUGAACGCUGGCGGUAGGCCUAACACAUGCAAGUCGAACGGCAGCACAGUAAGAGCUUGCUCUUACGGGUGGCGAGUGGCGGACGGGUGAGGGAUACAUCGGAAUCUACUUUUUCGUGGGGGAUAACGUAGGGAAACUUACGCUAAUACCGCAUACGACCUACGGGUGAAAGCAGGGGAUCUUCGGACCUUGCGCGAUUGAAUGAGCCGAUGUCGGAUUAGCUAGUUGGCGGGGUAAAGGCCCACCAAGGCGACGAUCCGUAGCUGGUCUGAGAGGAUGAUCCGCCACACUGGAACUGGGGCACCGUCCAGGCUCCUACGGGAGGCCGCAGUGGGGAAUGUUGGGAAAUGGGGGGCAACCUUGUCCAACCCAUCCGCGUGGGGUAAGGAGGGCUUCCGGUUUUUAAGCCCCUUUGUUGGGAAAGAAAAGCAGCAGGUUAAUACCCCGCUGUUCUGACGGUACCCAAAGAAUAAGCACCGGCUAACUUCGUG
rnacentral:rRNA from 1 species